GAGUGAUAUUCGUUCGAUCAAACUUGUUUGUCAUAAAUUAUAUAUGAAAUUACUUUAUUUAGUUUAUUUGUUUUUUGUAUGUGAAUAUAAUUGCUUAAUGCUGAAAAAAGAAUGUCUACAUGACGAAAUACAUAAGUCUUGUUCAUUUUACGAAGAAUACACUUGUUGGGAGACGGAAAUGUUGAACAAGAGAGUGAAGUCAUCGCCAAAGCGGUUGGCUCAUUGCAGAUCUGGUUGUUACUGCAA